CACCGCGGUUAUACGAGAGGCCCAAGUUAAUAAUUAGCGGCGUAAAGAGUGGUUAGAGAAAAUUUGUUAUUAAAGCCGAAUCUCUUCUAAACUGUCAUACGCUUACCGAAGAUGAGAAGCCCAUCUACGAAAGUGGCUUUAUUCUCUUGAGUCCACGAAAGCUAAGACA
rnacentral:rRNA from 1 species